rnacentral:rRNA from 1 species
GACGAACCGUGCGAACGUUAUUCGGAAUCACGUGGCUUAAAGCGCGUGUAGGCGGAUGAGCACGUCUGUCGCUGAAAUCCCCCGGCUCAACCGGGGAACGGGCGCGGAUACGGCUCGUCUCGAGGGGCGUAGGGGGACCUGGAACUUCCGGUGGAGCGGUGAAAUGCGUUGAGAUCGGAAGGAACGCCCGUGGCGAAAGCGAGGUCCUGGACGCCUACUGACGCUGAGACGCGAAAGCCAGGGGAGCGAACGGG